rnacentral:rRNA from 1 species
CCUACGGGUGGCUGCAGUGGGGAAUAUUGCACAAUGGGUGCAACCCUGAUGCAGCGACGCCGCGUGAGUGAGGAAGUCUUUCGGUUUGUAAAGCUCUAUCAGCAGGGAAGAAAAUGACGGUACCUGUCUAAGAAGCCCCGGCUAACUACGUGCCAGCAGCCGCGGGAAUACGUAGGGGGCAAGCGUUAUCCGGAGUUACUGGGUGUAAAGGGAGCGUAGACGGCUAAUCAAGUCAGAAGUGAAAACCCAGGGCUCAACCUUGGGACUGCGUUUGAAACUGAGUAGCUAGAGUGCAGGAGAGGUAAGCGGAAUUCCUAGUGUAGCGGUGAAAUGCGUAGAGAUGAGGAGGAACACCAGUGGCGAAGGCGGCUUACUGGACUGGAACUGACGUUGAUGCUCGAAAGCGUGGGGAGCAAACAGGAUUAGAUACCCUGGUAGUC